GCUUGAGCUCAGGUGUUCGAAGUCAGUUUGAGCAACAUAGCAAGAAUUUGUUUGAAAAAAAUUAUACGUACACAUCCAUAAAGUGACUCUCUCCUCCUUUCUCUGUUGCACUUAGCUACAUUUCUACCCUUUGUCUAUUUCUUCAAGGUCAGCCUGGACAACACAGGGAACCCCUAUCUCAAAACACAACAAAACAAAGCAACAACAGCAAAACAAAAAAAGAAAGGAAGGAAGGAAGGAAGGAAGAAAAAAGAAGAGCAGUAGAGAGAAGUUGAAAAUCUGUAAUUGAAAAGGUAAGAGGUGAAGGCACCUGAGAGCAGGGAGGCAGAGGUGCUGGGACUGGAGACAAAUGCAGAGCAGAGGAGAUCUGUGAGGAGCACGUGGACAGAGGGGAGCCAGGAAUUUCUGGGUAAAGUCAAGGCCCAGUGGAGGAGGAGACCACAAACCCAUGGUGGCACCAGUCACAUCAAUCUGCCCAGGAGGAUUUUCCUUCAGGUCCUGGGAGGCAUCACUUUCUCCAUCAGAUAAUCACACACCUUGCAAGCUGCUGCAGGUGAACAUGCCAUCCAAUGACCAGCUUGUUUGCUGCGCCAGCUUCAGCUUCCAGACAAAUCCCAGGGCCACCCUAGCAAUCGGUUCGUCUUCAUCAGACCUCCUGUGUAGCUCAUGAGGAGUGUUCAAUUCUGUUUCUAGCCAGAGCUGAUCUCUUCCAGGCGAUGAAGGCCUGGUCAAAGUGAGUUCCUACCAGUGUCAUUCAGGCACCUCAUCAUUCAUUAUUCAUACAUGAUGUAAAAUACGUGACGCUGCUAGUUUCAGAACGUUCCUACCAAGGUGAAGUGACAGCAACAGAAUUAUAAGCAUAUCCUCUAGAUUCUUCUGGUGUUGACGUUUUUUUGUUAAAAACUUUGACAGGGCUGGGGGUUUAGCUCAGUGGUGCGGCCGCCUGCCUUGUAAGUGCAAGGACCAGAGUUUGAUCCCUGGUACCAAAAAACAAAACAAAACAAAACAAAACAAAACAAAAAACUUUGAGAGGGAAGCAAAAAAAGCAAAACUUUUCUGAGUAGCUGUGGGACCAUUACUAGUAUACACGUGUGUCAGAGAAGACUCCUUUAGGGCCAGCUGUGAGACUUUCCUUGGCUAAGUGGGGGAUGGAGGACGAAGGUGUUUUAGCUGCUAGGGAGCAGGGUGAUGCAAUGCAAGCACAUUAAUUUUAGUCUUUGUUUUUAGUAGCUGUGGUGGUUUAGGGAUGCUUUUAAGUCUUUGUCCUUUGCUGUAAUGAAGAGCAGCCAUGUGGAGGAGAUCUUAGUUCUCAUUUGUUUACAGGAAACCUUACUCUUGGGAUGCUCCAUCCAAAGAAGCAUCCAUAGAGGCACCAGGACUGAAUAAAGACACACAUUUGAAUGUCACAGACACAGGGAAGAGCUAGAGCAAUGUCCAUUAAAGUGUCAAACUGUAGUAUGGACUACAGUUGGUUCUUGAACUGUUGUACACCUGGUUUGUGUGUUAAUUUUGUAUUCUGGCCGGGUGUGGUGGUGCAUCCCUAUGAGCCCAGCCCUUGGG
ensembl:lincRNA